AUGGCAAAGUACUGGUGGGGCAGCUCGAUCGACAAGCGCUCCCUCCAUUGGCUCUCUUGGGACAAGCUAGAGGUGCCGAAAGUGAAGGGCGGCAUGGGUUUCCGCAACAUGCAUUCGUUCAAUUUAGCGAUGCUCGGGAAACACGGCUGGCGCCUUCUCACAAGACCGAACUCGUUGUGUGCUAGGGUUCUGAAAGGCAAAUAUUACCCUCACACAGAUUUUCUCAGUGCGACAGUACCGGCCAAAGCUUCUGCAACUUGGAAGGCAAUUGUUGCCGGGCGGGAAGCACUUCAGGUUGGCCUCAUCCACUGA
rnacentral:rRNA from 1 species